CUCACCACAAGGUUUUUGUUGCAGGUGUUGGAUUCUGCUGGAGAGUUUGGAUGGCAGCUGGAGCGGGCGGGGCUUUGUGGAGAUGGAGUCGUGGUGCCCAUGAGGGGCUCUUCUUUCAGCUCCUUUGACCCGAGCUGGCAGGUCAGGAAAGCCCCUGGCUUGAGAGAGUCUCCAACCUCUGAAGGGACCCUGCAGGAGAAACAAAGGAAGUGCUGUAAUGAGCUAAACCUGUCAACAGAAAAAGGCGCACAGCGACAAUGUGACUCAUCUAACACAAACACUAAGUGAUCAAUGCAGCUGCAUGAAAUCCCUGCAGGUAUCGGCCACAUGGUCCAUCUGCAGGUAGGUUGCAACAGUGAGCACCCCGGUGACGAUGCUUGGCGUCAGAGGGAGGCGGGAGGUGUACAUGAAGUCGAGCAGCAGGGAGAUACUGGAUGGGUCCAAGGUAUCAGGGAGAGACACUGUCAUGAGCUGCUCCCCGCUGCCACCACGCCCCUGAAGCAGCACAUGGCGAGAGUACAUCGAGUAGAAGAACCCACUGACAGGAGAGAGGAAGAGACAGAAAUAUUUAAGUAAACUUCCAAAUAUCUUUGGGCUGUGGACAAUACAAGACAUCUGAGGACGUCAUUGUAGGCUUUGGAAAACAAGGAUUUACGUUUUUCACCAUUUUCUGACAUUUUACAGACCAAACAACUAAUCAGUUAUUCGAGAAAAGAAUCGACAAUGAAAAUAAUCUUUAGUUGCAGCCCUACAAAUGAUUGGCCAAAAGCUAUGGUCAAAUGGUUGGAACAUCAGCUUUGUAUGGAAGUAGUGAAGAUGACCAAACCAACCAUAACAUCGACACUUAAAUAAUAACAAACAAUAUCCAUGUUUAUGUAAUAAAAUGUAUAAAUGUUAUACAUUUGAUACAUGACAGGUGUGAUCAUGAUAGAUGCAAGUUCAACUGACAGGGCUGUGGGGGUACUUUA